rnacentral:rRNA from 1 species
CACGUAGGGCGCAAGCGUUGUCCGGAAUUAUUGGGCGUAAAGAGCUCGUAGGCGGACUGUCACGUCCGCUGUGAAAAGCUAGGGCUUAACCCUGGCCUUGCAGUGGAUACGGGCAGACUAGAGGUAGGUAGGGGAGAAUGGAAUUCCUGGUGUAGCGGUGAAAUGCGCAGAUAUCAGGAAGAACACCCGUGGCGAAGGCGGUUCUCUGGGACGGUACUGACGCUGAGACGCGAAAGCGUGGGGAGCGAACAGG